AGAGUUUGAUUAUGGCUCAGGAUGAACGCUAGCGAUAGGCCUAACACAUGCAAGUCGAGGGGCAGCACAUGAAGUAGCAAUACGGAUGGUGGCGACCGGCGCACGGGUGAGUAACGCGUAUGCAACCUGCCUACAACAGGGGAAUAACCCGUUGAAAGACGGACUAAUACCCCAUAACACAGGGAUCCCGCAUGGGAAUAUUUGUUAAAGAUUUAUCGGUUGUAGAUGGGCAUGCGUUCCAUUAGCUUGUUGGUGAGGUAACGGCUCACCAAGGCAACGAUGGAUAGGGGAACUGAGAGGUUUAUCCCCCACACUGGUACUGAGACACGGACCAGACUCCUACGGGAGGCAGCAGUGAGGAAUAUUGGUCAAUGGACGCAAGUCUGAACCAGCCACGUCGCGUGAAGGAAGACGGCCCUACGGGUUGUAAAUUUCUUUUGUAAGGGAAUAAAGUGUAGUACGUGUACUAUUUUGCAUGUACCUUACGAAUAAGGAUCGGCUAACUCCGUGCCAGCAGCCGCGGUAAUACGGAGGAUCCGAGCGUUAUCCGGAUUUAUUGGGUUUAAAGGGUGCGCAGGCGGGAGAUUAAGUCGGCGGUGAAAUUUUGCAGCUCAACUGUAAAAGUGCCUUCGAAACUGGUUUUCUUGAGUGUGGAUGAAGUAGGCGGAAUUUGUGGUGUAGCGGUGAAAUGCAUAGAUAUCACGAGGAACUCCGAUUGCGCAGGCAGCUUACUAAACCAUAACUGACGCUCAGGCACGAAGGCGUGGGGAUCAAACAGGAUUAGAUACCCUGGUAGUC
rnacentral:rRNA from 1 species